UACGUAGGGGGCAAGCGUUGUCCGGAAUCACUGGGCGUAAAGGGCGUGUAGGCGGUCAGGUAAGUGAGAUGUGAAAUGCCCCGGCUCACCCGGGGACCGGCAUCUCAUACUGCUUGGCUUGAGUACGGGAGAGGAUGUGGGAAUUCCUGGUGUAGCGGUGAAAUGCGUAGAUAUCAGGAGGAACACCGGUGGCGAAGGCGCACAUCUGGCCCGAUACUGACGCUGAGGCGCGAAAGCUAGGGGAGCAAACGGG
rnacentral:rRNA from 1 species